rnacentral:RNase_P_RNA from 1 species
GCUACUGGUCAGACGAUCGCGAGGAGGUACAUGCCUCGAGGAAAGUCCGGGCUCCAAUGGGUGCGCUGCCAGGUAACGCCUGGGCGCCGCAAGGCGACGGAGAGUGCCACAGAAAACAAACCGCCGAUGUAAAUCUGUAAGGGUGAAAAGGCGGGGUAAGAGCCCACCGUGUUCAUGGCAACAUGGACAGCUCGGUAAACCCCAGCGGGAGCAAGGCCAAGUAAGCGGUGAGGGGAAUCCCACUCCGAUAAACACACCGCGGGUAGGCUGCUAGAGGGUACGGGUGACCGUGCUCCAAGAGAAAUGAUCGUCAGGAGCCUCAACAGCUUCUACAGAACCCGGCUUAUAGACCGGUAGCAACA